rnacentral:lncRNA from 11 species
AGAUAAGUAACUGAGCAGCUCUUCCUAAGAUAUUAUUCUUAACAAACAUCAAGCUAUGAAGACUUAAGUCACAAUGCUGUUGCAUCAGACACAGAUACAAAUUAUUUUGCUUACUGCCUGAUUCUGCUAUGCCACUAGCCUAAGGAGAUGUCUGCCCUGUGUCCUCUCUGCAUUAUUCUUAAGCUCAUGCCAAGUAGGAAUAUACACCAUUUAUUAUUUAUAUUGCUAAAUAGAUUCUCCUGAAAUGCCAGGGGAAAUGAGAGUAAAAGCAUAUUGGAGUGUAUAAUAUCAAAUGGCAACCUUAGGAGAAAGGCAAGCCUUGGGGUUUAAAUUCCCAAGUCAAGGGAGUUACCUUCUUACAGUGUUGAUUUCUAAAAAACAAACAUUCCACCCAUACCAAUAUAAGCUGUUUUACCAAGAAAUAUUGAAGGAGAUUCUUCCUAAUGUGAAAAGAUCUAUACUGCUCAGAAUAUUGAAGGCUCCUUCAGUAUCUGUCAUUUGUUUGCAGUCUUUAAGUUAUUGUAAGCAACGUUGGGUCUUGUGCUGGGAGAAACAGAAAAAUAUAGUGUAACUGCAGUUGGUACAUUCAUCACUCCAGGCUCAGAAAUUUGAGUUUAUGCUUAAAAAUCUGGGUUUGACACUCAACAUAUUCAGCCAGGUAAGUGUUGAAUCUAUUCUGU